rnacentral:rRNA from 1 species
GAAGGCUGAAAUUCGCCUUCAUGAAGCCGGAAUUGCUAGUAAUGGCAGGUCAGCAUACUGCCGUGAAUACGUUCCCGGGCCUUGUACACACCGCCCGUCACACCAUGAGAGUUGGAGAUACCCGAAGCCUGUGAGCUAACAGAAAUGGAGCAGCAGUCGAAGGUAGAAUCAAUGAUUGGGGUGAAGUCGUAACAAGGUAUC